GCGGGAAACAUGAUGGUCAUGCAUCAGCCAGAGAUGCAGCUCGACGAAAAUGUGGACUAUGCACCGCUUUGGAAGAAACUGCAAGUAAUGAAGGGGGAGAUGCAUCUACAGCUGACCCAGAGCAGGAUGCUUUCUUUCCACUGGCCCCUCAAUCAUCUAUGCUUCACUUUGGCUCACAGUGUAACCUCAGACCUUCACAACGCUCAUCAGCAGUUCAGGC